GUCGCCUUAUAUUGUGUGUACUUACACUCUGUGUACACUUGCACUGUAUGCGUCAGCUUACAUUGUGUGUAGACUGUACCACUUAUGAUCGGAGCUGCCCUGCCCUGGCACAUAGUCACAGUUAGGUAGAACAGUUAUAACAACUUUACUGUUCAUCUGUCUUUUGUGGGAUUUUGGGUAGAAAAUUCAUCAGUCCAGAGUGGGGACAAGUCCUAGCUGUCAGAUAGCCACUUGUUGACCCUUCCUGUUGUCUCACAGGUCCCCGAGGCUGCUGAUUUCCCCAGGAUCUGCCAUUUAGCUCAAGGAGCGGCAGCCAGAAGAUGUGUCAAAGCACCUUCUUCAGCAUCUCAGGGAAGGGCCACAGUGAGCGUGUUUUGCAACUCAUUGUUAAAUUGAGAAUAAAAAAUCCCCAGCUGCCUUCCA